CAUCUACAUCAUAACACGGGAUGGGGAUAAGGAUCUGAAAACACACAGGUUGAUUGUAUUUCCAAACCCAUUAAGGGGGAAAACCUGCUUAUCACAUUUAUUGCUCACAAACAAACAGUCAUAAAAUAAUACUAAGUAAUAAUAGUAAAAGGCUGAAGGAGUUGUUUAACAGUACACUGAUCUCAGAUUAGCAGGAGAAUAGCUUUAUAAAGGAAUAUGGCACAAAAUCUUAUAGACUUUGCGUGGAACAUUUUUAAUGCCUAACUACUGAUGACAUUGAUUUGAGGUU